rnacentral:lncRNA from 1 species
GCCGACUGUAAGUCAUCAAUAAAUUCCUUUACUAUCUAGAGACUAUCCAUAAGUUCUGUGACUCUAGAGAACCCUGACUAAUACAGAAGUUGGUACCAGGAGUGGUUCUAGAGUAACAGAAGUACAAGGAUGAAUCUUUUAAAAUACUGGAAUUGGCUUGUUGAUCCACCAGCACUUUCAACUAUUGAAACCUCUCCAGAUUCUCUCCCUCCUGGGAGCUCAGAGAAUUUUGAAGACCCAUGGUUGAAACUAUAUUCCAAACUUAAAGAAGCUAAUGACCUUGAUUUUCUUAAUGAAUUAGGUGAUUCAGUGCACAAAGCUUUCUACAAGAUGGGGAAAAAAUCGGAAAAUGAUUUUACUGGCUGGCUGCUCUUAGUAUCUGUGGAAAAAAUGAAGAAUGAAAGGAAGGAGUUGUGUGAUAAAAUCGAAAGGCUCCAGACACAAGUAAACGAUCUAAAAGUUGCUAAGUGUGUCCUUGAGGAGAAUCUUCUCUCUUGUAGCAAUAGAGCUCAAGUUGCAGAAAAUCAAACAGAAACUCUCAUUGUAAGGUUGGCUGAACUACAGCGAAAAUUCAAGUCUCAGCCUCAGAGUGUGUCAACAGUUAAAGUAAGGGCUCUAAUUGGCAAAGAAUGGGAUCCUACAACAUGGAACGGGGAUGUGUGGGAAGAUCAUGUUGAAGCUGAGAAUUUUGAAUCUUCAGAUUCUCAAGGGUUUGCCCCACCUGAGGAAGUAGUACCCUCAGCCCCACCCCUUGAAAUAAUGCCUUCCCCACAUGAGGAAAUUAAUUUUGCAGAGUCUGAUAAACCAGCAAUGACUUUCACUACUGAUGUUUCUCAAGGCCCACCAAUAGUUUCUUCUAGACCUGUAACCAGACUCAAAGCAAAACAGGCUCCUAGAGGGGAGGUAGAAAGUGUAGCCCAUGAGGAAAUUCGCUACACUACUAAGGAGCUUAAUGAGUUUGCUAAUUCAUUCAAGCAGAAACCUGGUGAAUAUGUGUGGGAAUGGAUUUUAAGGGUGUGGGAUAAGGGUGGAAGGAACAUAAAACUAGAGCAGGCUGAGUUUAUUGACAUGGGUCCUCUGAGUAGAGAUUCUAGGUUUAAUACGGAAGCUCGCAUAGUUAAAAAAGGUGUCAAAAGUUUGUUUGAAUGGUUGGCUGAGGUGUUUAUCAAAAGAUGGCCUACUGGAAAUGACUUGGAGAUGCCUGAUAUUCCGUGGCUUAGUGUUGAUGAAGGGAUUUUAAGACUUAGGGAAAUUGCAAUGCUAGAGUGGAUAUAUUGUGUAAAGCAUAAUUGUCCACAAUGGGAAGGUCCAGAAGAUAUGCCUUUCACCAGCUCUAUAAGACGCAAAUUGGUGAGAGGGGCACCAGCACAUUUGAAGGGUUUUGUUCUUUCCCUUUUCCUUGUGCCAGAUCUUAGCAUUGGAGAUG